rnacentral:rRNA from 1 species
CCUUGGAGAAGGAACUCGGCAAAUUGACACCGUAACUUCGGAAGAAGGUGUGCCUUUAGUAGGUGAACCUGUACAAGGGGAGCCCAAUGAGGUUGCAAAAAAUCGGUGGCUGCGACUGUUUAUUAAAAACACAGCACUCUGCAAACACGAAAGUGGACGUAUAGGGUGUGACGCCUGCCCGGUGCUGGAAGAUUAAAUGAUGGGGUGCAAGCUCUUGAUUGAAGUCCCAGUAAACGGCGGCCGUAACUAUAACGGUCCUAAGGUAGCGAAAUUCCUUGUCGGGUAAGUUCCGACCUGCACGAAUGGCGUAACGAUGGCCACACUGUCUCCUCCUGAGACUCAGCGAAGUUGAAAUGUUUGUGAUGAUGCAAUCUCCCCGCGGAAAGACGGAAAGACCCCAUGAACCUUUACUGUAGCUUUGUAUUGGACUUUGAACAGAUCUGUGUAGGAUAGGUGGGAGGCUUUGAAGCAGGGUCGCUAGAUCUUGUGGAGCCAACGUUGAAAUACCACCCUGGUGUGUUUGAGGUUCUAACCUAGGUCCAUUAUCUGGAUCGGGGACAGUGCAUGGUAGGCAGUUUGACUGGGGCGGUCUCCUCCCAAAGCGUAACGGAGGAGUUCGAAGGUACGCUAGUUACGGUCGGACAUCGUGACGAUAGUGCAAUGGCAUAAGCGUGCUUAACUGCGAGACUGACAAGUCGAGCAGAUGCGAAAGCAGGACAUAGUGAUCCGGUGGUUCUGUAUGGAAGGGCCAUCGUUCAACGGAUAAAAGGUACUCUGGGGAUAACAGGCUGAUACCGCCCAAGAGUUCAUAUCGACGGCGGUGUUUGGCACCUCGAUGUCGGCUCAUCUCAUCCUGGGGCUGUAGCCGGUCCCAAGGGUAUGGCUGUUCGCCAUUUAAAGAGGUACGUGAGCUGGGUUUAAAACGUCGUGAGACAGUUUGGUCCCUAUCUUCCGUGGGCGCUGCAGAUUUGAGGAAGCCUGCUCCUAGUACGAGAGGACCGGAGUGGACAUACCUCUGGUGUAUCGGUUGUCACGCCAGUGGCAUUGCCGAGUAGCUAAGUAUGGAAGAGAUAAACGCUGAAAGCAUCUAAGCGUGAAACUCGUUUCAAGAUGAGAUCUGCCGGGGCCUUGAGCCCCCUAAAGAGUCGUUCAAGACCAGGACGUUGAUAGGUCAGGUGUGGAAGCGCAGUAAUGCGUUAAGCUAACUGAUACUAAUUGCUCGUGCGGCUUGACCCC